UUUUUUUUUUUUUUUUAGGCCCACACCUGGAGCAUAGGGAAGUUCUCAGGCUAGGGGUCCAACCUGAGCUGCAGCUGCCAGCCAAAGCCACAGCCACAGCCACAGCCACAGCAAGGGUGGAUCCAAGCCUUAUCUAAGACCUACCCCUCAGCUCACAGCAACACCAGAUCCUUAACCCACUGGGCAAGGCCAGGGAUGAAACCCACAUCCUCAUGGAUACUAGUCGGCUUGGAAGUACAAUCACCAUUACUUAUCAGUGUGUAUUAGGUAUAAAUACUUACCCUGGAUUAUAUUUCAUGUUUGACAGAUUAACAAUGCUUGAUAGUUUACUUAACUGCAGGUGUAAAAUAUGGAUCUAGUCUAGUCUUGAUAAUGCAUUUGUUCAUAAAGUUUGAUCAUUUGCUCACAACAUGAAAAACCUACAGACCACCACCAUGGCUACCAGAAAGACGUUUCUGGUCCACCUGACCCUUAUCUGCUCCACCCAGGCAGACACGAAAGGGGACUCCAAGGCCAUUCCCUUCCCUCGCAUCCUAGUUUUGACAACUCCACACAGCCACCCUUGCGCGUGUACUGAGAUUGGGAUUUUCUCAGCGCUACAGAGGGACCUUUUGCUUCGCCCUCUGCUCUCCAGGUGAUUUUCUCUCAAGUUACAACUUGAUUGCUGCCUGAUGAUUAAGAUCCUCGCGAAAAAAAAAAAAAAGUUUUUUUAUGACCUAUUUAAAAAAAAAAAAAAUCCCAUAUCCAGUUAAGAAUUGUCAAAAAGUAAGAAUAAUUGUCCUCUGGAUCAUUACUUACUGUUUCGAGUACAUUUUGCAGAGAAAUUCUUUUUUAAUUUGUUUUUUUUGGCCAUGCCCACGACAUGUGAAAAUCAGGACCCACAGAUUGAACCCACAUCACAGCAGCAACCCAAGCCACUGCAGUGACAACGCCAGAUCUUUAACCCACGGUACAAUACGGGAAAUGUGAGAAAUUACAGCAUUAGUUUAAAAAUAUCUUCAUAGAAGGUAUUAAAUAUUGCUCAGAAGAGAUAUCAUAAUUUAAUUCCAAACUAUAAAUAUAGAAAGCAACUGGUUAAAUUUCACUGUAGAAAUAUUUCUUUUUGCUGUCGUUUUCUAAAGGUAACUUGGACAAGCACGACAUAUAAAGUAAGACAACAUUGGCAAAAUAUAAAUAACUAAUAAAACAGAUGAAUCAUCAAUGACCAAAUGAUAUAUAAACAUAACGAAUAUUUUAAUAAACAUUCCCCUAAUUUAAUCUGAUCCUAUAAAGUCAUGUAUUUGCAUUGUGAUGUAUCUAAAAUUAUAUACAUUCCAAAAGCUACCCAUCAUCUUCCCCACUUUCUAACUACCUUAAACUAUUAAUUGACUAAAGUGCACUUUGUUCAAAAUAUUUUUCCAGUGACUACAAUGCAUUAGGUGACUUGCUUGCAUUACUUUUAAAUCCCACCUGUAAAAUAUGAGUGAUAUACUUAAAAUUACUGGAGUUGCAACACCUGACCAAAUAUUUGAAAACUAGAAUGACGUUAAUUAAAUAAAUGGCCUACUCUCAUAUGACUCCAACUGAGAACUGUCCAUUAACAGUAGUUUAUCCGCAGUUGCCAUCAUUUAUCCACAUCAAAUACACUGUGUUCCAAACUUUAAAACUACUAAGUCAUGAUGAGGAAUGGGAAGGGCUUGCCCUAACUGUCCAAAGGCAUUUAGAACCUGAAAUGUCCAAUCUGUAACUGCAGGAGAAUAGUCUAAAUUUGUAUUGUUUUAUGGAUCUUAGAGUAAAACAGAGAAAAUGGAGGUUAACACUACAACAAUUUUACAUAGUACAGAAUGGCUCCCAUAUAAAACCGGUUAAAUUCAUUCUCUAUGCAUGUUAGUUCCAACAGCAGAGUAACUCUGAAGAUAUUAAGUAUUCUAAAUAUUAGAUUCAAAAUAUAUUGAAGACUCUGAGUUCUCUCUAAUACAAUGAUUUUAGUUACUUUAUUUUUAAGCAAACACUGAAUACCCUAUCAACAAAUGGCAGGUGCUCUUCUUGACAGUCUUCGAACAGAAAUUCUGCGAGGACAUCAUGACGACAUCAGCAAGAGUGUCAAUUUGAUUCCGGGGGAAAAGUCACCUCUAAUUACAGCUGUGAACACCUCCUGAUCGAGCACUGUUUCAUACUCUUUCUUUCAUUCUUCCCAAGGCCUAACUUAAUGAGGCCCUGAGAUGUAGCAUACAGUCAAACAUUAGCUGACUGGAUAAAUGACCACUAAAGAACUACGACACAAACCAUUUAAUUCGGUAUCUGAGUUCUACUCAGGAUGCCAAAAAAUAAACAUGCAUUAUACAUACAAGACACCCCUAAGGCACAAGCACUGUUGUUAUUUAGCAACUCUUAAACUUCUUCGUGGCCUCCCAGAAGUAAUGUUAUUCAUGUGCUAAAUUAUCUUCGUUGAUUUACCUCUAUUCUCUCAUGUCCUACUUAGAAAAGAAUAUCAGAAUGCAAAUAAGGGAGAAGUAACAUGUGAGACACAGUGAAACAUACAUUGCACAUAUAUUACAUACUCAUCCUACACAUUUCGCAUAGACUACAGACCUAUUACACAUACAUUAUGUACACACACACACACACACACAUUGCCUGUACACUAUAUGUGUGCAUGUGUUUUCCCUCCAGAAGGUGGUACAAUAUAAAUUUAAGUGAACUAUCCAAAGUUAGUUUACAGAAAAUCUACCAUGUGGAAUACACACUUCCCACAUCCUAACAGACUCACCAAUAUUCUCUCUUUAUCAAUACCCGUUCACGCAUCAGUGAUAUAUGCCUCAGUCAUUUUCACACACAGUCAACCAUGUCCUACUAAGAUCGAAUUCAAAAUUCUUAAAAUGAAGAGCAAGGCAGAAAGUGUCUACUUUCCUAUCAUCUAAUUCCCCCAUCAUUUCUCAGAUGUGACUUUAGACGGGGAAGAUACCCAGGGCCUUGAGAUAAAGACCGAAGCAUAAGUAGUUUAUUGGGGGAUGAUCCAGAAAACACCAGUAAGGGAGAGAAGGAAGAAGGCCAUUAAAGCGUGCAAUAUCAAGCCAGUUAUCCCCACGGCUUGACUGGGUGGUACUGAGUCUCGCUGGACACAAUGUACAGAACAUGCUCCAGAACUAGCCCAACCAAGCGCCUAGGAGGCUAAGGCAUUUCUCUAACAAAUCCGCUUUUAUUCAGUGGCACUUCUGGCCUGCUCUGCAAGUGGACCUGGAACACACCUGCGGCUAGGAGAAAACCAACCAACCAACCAACCCCGAGUAGAGGCUGUUCACAGAGGACAGCCUAGAGAAUACGGGCAGAGCAGGAAAUGCACCUGUUGGUGGAAACUGUCUGCUCACUCCUAUGCUGAGAGUACUUCCUCCUCC
rnacentral:lncRNA from 1 species